rnacentral:SRP_RNA from 1 species
CUGUGCUAGACGGGGAGGUAGCGGUGCCUUGUAACCUGCAAUCCGCUAUAGCAGGGUUUAAGUCCAUCUAGAGGUCUAACUCUUGUAGAGCUGCCCUAGAUAAGUGGUGAUGAUAUUUGGGUCCUGCGCAAUGAAAGCUCACGAACCCCGCCAGGUCCGGAAGGAAGCAACGGUAAGUGAUUACUUUCAUGUGCCGCAGGGGUGCCUAAAUUGAGCUAACUGUUUAGGUAACGUCUAUGAGAUUAGAACAAAGGAUGGUGCACAG